AGCGAACGCUGGCGGCAGGCUUAACACAUGCAAGUCGAGCGGGCCCUUCGGGUCAGCGGCAGACGGGUGAGUAACACGUGGGAACGUACCCUUCGGUUCGGAAUAACUCAGGGAAACUUGAGCUAAUACCGGAUACGCCCUUUGGGGGAAGGGUUUACUGCCGAAGGAUCGGCCCGCGUCUGAUUAGCUAGUUGGUGGGGUAAGUGGCCCACCAAGGCGACGAUCAGUAGCUGGUCUGAGAGGAUGAUCAGCCACACUGGGACUGAGACACGGCCCAGACUCCUACGGGAGGGCAGCAGUGGGGAAUAUUGGACAAUGGGCGCAAGCCUGAUCCAGCCAUGCCGCGUGAGUGAUGAAGGCCUUUAGGGUUGUAAAG
rnacentral:rRNA from 1 species